CAUUCUUUCUUCUUUGCUUUUUUUUUCAUUUUCUGUGUUAAAUUUCUGUACUGGCUAUCAAUUCUUUCUUUUAUAUUUUGCCUCGUUUCUAUUUCCAGUGAUGGCUUCUUCGUACAUCUCAAUUUCCAACACCAACCAAAUUACAAUUUAGAAUUAAGCAUCAACAUAUCAAUACAUAAUAAUUUUUUUCUUUUCUUUUUUAAUUUCAGUAGUUUUGGGGGAACAGGGAGUUUUCAGAAGAGAAUUCAGAGAGCACUGCUCUGCAGUUUUGGCAAUGAGCUUUUAUAGGCUGAACACAGAAGUAAAGCACAGAGAUAGCUUGAUUGGUUGCAGUUGCCUUAUUUGGAUGUGCUCUGGUCAGUUGGCUGCCUGUGAUUGGCCGAAGCUUGACUUCUUGUGAUUGGCUGAGACCUGGGUAUCUGUUACAAAACGUAUACUCCUAAGUUAGGUUGUAGUUUGUUAUUUGGAACUCAAUGUACAGAGGCAGCCUCAGGCCAAUGGCUUUCUGCCUAUUUUAUUUAACAUGUGUUAACCCCAUUUCAACAGUAAAAAACUUAGCUCCCAUCAUCCACCAUCCAUUUAUUUAUUUGUUUAAUUUUAGUAGACAUGUACAGAGUUUUCAUAAUUGUGAAGUCACACACCUGUUAAGAAAUAACUUUAUCAACUAGAGUACAAUAAUUACCUAGCUUAAUAGUUUGUCAUUAGUCUUAAAGUCAUUCCAAAGUUAUUUUUUUAGAUACAUAACUUUUUUCUUUGAUUUUUUAAAAAUUUCGAUAGCUUUUGGGGAACAGGUUGUUUUUUGUUACAUGGAUAAGUGGUUAUUUCUGAGAUGUUGGUGCACCUGUCACCUGAGCCGUGUACACUGUACCCAAUGACUGAAGUUAAUUAAAUCAGCAUUUCUUUGUCCCUACCCUCUUAAGUGAGGUUAUUUCAUACAUUUAUAAUAUGAUCAGAUUAUUUAGUUACAGUCUGCAUCCCAUUCUGGAUUUCCUGAUCUUCUGGUUGAUUUUUUUUUUAAUUGUGCCUACAUUACAGUAAAUUCUUUGCACUAUAAAGUUAUAUGGGAUUUGACAAGUUAAUAAUGUCAUGUAUCCACCACUACAGUCCUGUACAGAAUGGUUUAUAGGCUUGAAAGAAAUCACCUGUGCUUUACCUAAUGAAUCCGUCUUCCUCCCCAAAACUCUGCCUAUCACUGAUUUGGCUUCUACAGUUUUUUUUUUUUCUAUUCCAGAAUGUAAUAUAAAUGGAAUGAUAUGGUAUGUAGCUUUCUAAGACUAACUUCUUGCACUUAGCAAUGCUCAUUUACGAUUCAUUCAUAUCUUUACAUGGCUUGAUAGUGUACUUCUAUUGCUGAAUAGUAUUCCAUGGUAUGGAGGUACCACAAUUGUUUCUCCAUUCGCCUUUUGAAGGACUUCUUGAUUCCUCACAGCUUUUGGUAAAUAUGAAUAGAACUGCUAUGAACAUUCAUGUGCAGGCUUUUGUGUGAGCAUAAUUUUUCAAAUCCGUUGGAUGAAUACCUAGAAGCGUAAAUGUUAAGUCAUGUGGUAAGUCUAUGCUUAGCUUUAUAUCAACAUUUGAAUUAUUGAUGGAUACCAAGUUAUGCAAAUGUCUCUUAGCAUAAUGUGCUUUAUGAAUUUUUGUCACCACUCAAAAAAGGCUUUCUAGUAAACCAUAAGAAAAUUGGGAGAAAAUUAGCUUAACAAUUACUGUAGGGCAGCAUUUCAAAGGCUGGAUUCUAUUGGGGAGGGGAGCAGAGGAGGAGAAGUGUUCAAAGGCAAGAAAAGAGAAUGUAGACAGAAAAUUUCAGCUAAGUUGUAAAUGUGAAAGGAGGAUUUGAGAAAACAGAAGUUGGCAAUGGAAGAAAUAUGUUUCAUACCUGAAUUUGGUCACUCAAAUGUAUCCUAGAAAGGAGUAACAGUCUAUUAAAAAUCGGUGCUGAGGAGGAAAAGAAGUAUGACAGAAUAGAGACACAAAGUAUGUAACAAGGGAGAGAAAUAAACAGCAGGGUUGAGGAAACCAUGAGCCUUUUGAGCUGGAGGCACAUCAAGAUUGGGCAAUGCAGCCUGCAAUCACCAAAAGGAUGUGGAUUUGGGGGUGACCCACGUCCCUGAGAAUAAGCCUCUCAGCAAUCUCGAUCUCUUUGAUUGACAAGAGUCUUCAAUGAACAUAUUCAAGUCCUGGUCCUUCACCUCUUUUGAUGGUGUCCUUUUUAGAGGAACGCUGAGCAAUUCGACUGCUCUCUGCUUCUCCUCGCACUCCAUCCACAUGGCAUAUGUAAGGGCAUGUAACAAAAGCUAUAAAUGUCAUAAAAAUGAAAAGAGUCCAGAAAGGUUACAUUAUAAUCCAAUCCUUAAUGCAGGAAUAAAAUGUGUAAAAUGUAAUUUGGUGUGGCUCCUGUUUCUUCUAGGAGCAUGUGAAUGAAUGGUGACUGAGUGUGUGGUUACUGAAAUAAUCAAAUAAUCACAUGAAGUAAAUAGGAUCAGGAAACGCUUCAUCCACAGAUGCUCUAUCAUUGCUGUAACCAUGACACACAGAGAAAAGCAUGCUUCCCUAGACCUUGCUUCAUUCCUUUACUUCAUACACAUGAGAGACUCUCUUGGCUGGCACCUUCCCAUCUCCUUCCCAUAUAAUUGUGGAACUAUUUGCCUCUCAAGGUGUCCUACUCGGGAGGCCAAAUUAGGAAAUCCAUCGCAGAUGCAUGAUUAAGUAUGUUUUGUUCCUAAAACAUACCAACUCUUGAAAUGGUAAUUCUCUUGAAUGGUAAUUUUCAUUUUUCGUUAGUAUUUCUUCAGAGCUCUAAAAUACAAAGAGCUAAAAUUAUAAACUGUAAAACGUGUAUAAUUGAGAUAAUUCAUUAUUCUGGCUUGGGGAAAAUAUUAUCAGCUAAGUUCACUUAGAAUCUUCUAAUUAAACAGCAAUAAUCAUUUAUAAGAAUAAGUUAAUGACCUUUUUUGUUGUAGUUGUUGUUGGAGUCUUGCUUUGUCGCCCAAGCUGCAGUGCAGUGGUGUGAUCUUGGCUCACUGCAAUCUCCGCCUCCGUGGUUUCAGCGAUUCUCCUGCCUCAGCCCCCUGAGUAGCUGAAAUUGCAGGCACCCGCCACCACAACCGGUUAAUUUUUAUGUUUUUAGUAGAGACGGGAUUUCACCAUCUUGGCCAGGCUGGUCUUGAACUCCUGACCUCAAGUGACCUGCCCGCUUCAGCCUCCAAAGUGUUGGGAUUACAGGCAUGAGCCACCACACCCAGCCCAAGCUCUUUUUAAACUAUGUCUCCACCUCCAUCAUUCCUACUCUAGGAUUACUGAGUAGGGGGACAAAUGUGGGAGAAAACUAGAACUCAGGUCCUUUUGCAAUGCCUGUCUUGUAAUAUAUCCCUAAUAUAUUUGAAUGUAAACCUACCACCAUUUUUUUAAUUUCUAAUCU
rnacentral:lncRNA from 10 species